CUACGGGUCGCUGCAGUGGGGAAUAUUGCACAAUGGGGGAAACCCUGAUGCAGCAACGCCGCGUGGAGGAUGACGCAUUUCGGUGUGUAAACUCCUUUUAUAUCCCAAGAUAAUGACGGUAGGAUAUGAAUAAGCACCGGCUAACUCCGUGCCAGCAGCCGCGGUAAUACGGAGGGUGCAAGCGUUACUCGGAAUCACUGGGCGUAAAGGGCGCGUAGGCGGGUUGUCAAGUCUUGAGUGAAAUCCAACGGCUCAACCGUUGAACUGCUUGAGAAACUGGCAGCCUAGAGUAAGGGAGAGGUAGAUGGAAUUGGUGGUGUAGGGGUAAAAUCCGUAGAGAUCACCAGGAAUACCCAUUGCGAAGGCGAUCUGCUGGAACUUUACUGACGCUGAGGCGCGAAAGCGUGGGGAGCAAACAGGAUUAGAUACCCGCGUAGUC
rnacentral:rRNA from 1 species